AAAUGAAUUGACGGGGGCCCGCACAAGCAGCGGAGCAUGUGGUUUAAUUCGACGCAACGCGAAGAACCUUACCAGGUCUUGACAUCCAGGUAAAGCCGUAGAGAUACGGUGUGUGCUUGCACAAUCUGAGACAGGUGGUGCAUGGUUGUCGUCAGCUCGUGUCGUGAGAUGUUGGGUUAAGUCCCGCAACGAGCGCAACCCUUAUUUUCAGUUACUAACGUGUAGAGGCGAGGACUCUGAAGAGACUGCCGGGGACAACUCGGAGGAAGGUGGGGACGACGUCAAAUCAUCAUGCCCCUUAUGACCUGGGCUACACACGUGCUACAAUGGCCACCACAGAGAGGAGCGAACCUGCGAGGGGGAGCGGAUCUCAAAAAAGUGGUCCCAGUUCGGAUUGUGGGCUGCAACCCGCCCACAUGAAGUCGGAGUUGCUAGUAAUCGCGGAUCAGCAUGCCGCGGUGAAUACGUUCCCGGGCCUUGUACACACCGCCCGU
rnacentral:rRNA from 1 species